AUGCAUAAAAAAUCAAUGACAGCAAUUUGAAAUAUUACAUUUAUGAAAAAAUAUUCAAUUGAAUUUUUCCUACAGAUGUCCUUUUGCUCAAAAGUCAUGCUGAAGUUUAAUUGAAGUUGAGAAAAGCUAGCCUCUAACAAAGGCAUUAGUUUUACUUAUUACAAUGGUAAUAAAUUAAAAAUUUAACUUGUGGAAUAAAAAAUGCCAGCAUGCCUAGAUAAAGGAAGGAUUAUUAUAAUUAUCUUUCCUUAGUUCUUGGUCUUGUAACCAUUCAAUCAUUGUAAUUUUUGAAGUUAUUAAACAGCUUUAAUGUGAAAUGGUACCCAGCUUUUUGAAAAACCCUUUUUAUUUUCUGAAACAUAGUCUUAUAAGAAAAGGAUAGAUAGUGGCUGUGUUUUUGAAGACAAAGCUUAUCUCUUCUGCUCCCAAAAUAGUUGUGAAGAAUUGGAGUACAAUAGGUUUUGUGAAGUAAUUUAACUAUUUGAGAUAUUUAGUUCAAAGUAUCUGAACUCUUUUCAAUAUUGGUUCAAAAUUUUAUGAAGAAUUUGGACUUUCAUACAGUAGUAAUAUAAUUUAAAAAAUUAUGUUUUAGAGAUAUUGAAAUCAUUAUAAAUAAUUUCAAUAACAUGCAAGUAUUUUUUACUAUACAUGAUCAAAACCUAAGUUUUUAACUGCCUUAUCAUAAAAGAUAUGAAAUGACACAGAAUGUUUGUCCUUACUUUGAUCAGACUAACUCUAUAAAGUCAGUUCUCAAUUAUAUUUUACUAAUAUAAGUGAAAGAAACCUAGUAGAAGUUUUGUUUUGUUUUUUGUUUUACUUAUUUAUUUAUUUUUUUAUUUGAGUACUGUGCAUUGAUCUUGGGGGCACUCAACCACUGAGCCACAUUUCCAGCCCUAUUUUGUAUUUUAUUUGUAGACAGCAUCUCACUGAGUUGAUUAGCACCUUGCUUUUGUUGAGGCUAUUUUUGAAUUUUCUUUUUUUUUUCUGGGUUGCUUUAGUAUAUUGAACAUCUUUCUAAAAUAAACUAUGAGAAAGCCAUUCUAAUUCAGUGGAAGAGAUGCUGAAAGAUUCAAGUUUAACAUCCACUAUUAGCAAUGUAAAAUGGAGGGAAAGAUCCGUGAAUUGGGCUCUUAGAAUUCUGCCCCUAUGGGAGAUGGAAGGGUCAAGCCAAAAGCCAUCAAGGGAAAAGAUGAAGAAAGGUGGACUCUCAGAGCAGGGGUUUCUGGCUAGAAGCUGUUCCUUGCUCACUGUGUCAAUAUUUUCUCCCAGCCCCCUCAGGCUGAUUCUCUAGGCUAAGAUGGUGGAGAUGGUGUUUGCUGUAGUCAAGAAAGAAAGUGACGGGCUGAACCCAGGGGUAGUGCUGAAAAGCUUCCCGAGUCACGCUUGGCUCAUGCUUCUCCAGGGAAGAUGGACAGAGGGAAAGGAGGUGCUGUUUUUGAACUUUCAAUCCUCCUCCCUCAGCCUCCCGAACUUGUGGGAUUAUAGGCCUGUGCCAGUUCUAGUAGAAGUUUUAUCUUUAAUUGUACAAAUAAUUUUAGAAUAUACUUUUACCAUACCCAAAGACAUAAAUACUUUAGAAAAGAGCAGACUUACAUAUAACUAAACUGAGUAGCAUUUUGGGGACCAACUCAAAUGUCCCUGAACUAGUAAAUGAACAUUUGGUGCAUCAUUCAAGGAAAUGUUCAUUGACAACCAAAAAAGGCAAACCACUGUUAGGUACCAUAAUACUUACAAAUCUUAAAUACAUUUUUCUAAGUGGAAGAAUAUCUAUUGGAAUUAUGUGAUUCCAUUUAUUUGACAUCAUGAAAGACACCUGGGAGAAAAACAAUCAGUGAUAGCUAAGGCUUGGGGUGUGAGUGCAAAGAGCUGAGAGCAGAAAGGUGGCAGAGGCAUGUGGGGUGAACAUGCUGUUCUAUAUAAAACUGCUGUGUCUACAUGACUAUGCAUUUGUCAAAACUGACAGAACAAUACAUCACAGAAAUGAAUUUUUUUGUGUUAUGUUGUUUAAAAAAUCAAGUAGGUUAUAGGGGAAAAGACGGAAUGGAGACUGUGACAGAUGAGUAUAACAGUAAAACUGAAGAGGAUGGAAAAAACAGCUGACCUUUGUAACUUUGCAAAAUAAUAUUUGGCAGGAUACUGUAAAACUAAAGACAAAAAAACUACAUGAAACACUAUAUUCUACUUAGUAAGAGUUUUUUGUGGUGUAGGAAAUUUGGAACUACUUUACAAGUAUUAUAGAGUGGGAAAAAUUAGUAAAUAUAAUAUAGACAAAAAAUAUACAGGUUUCUGACUUUAGUAAAAUGAAAUUAAAAGUACAGUAAAAAAGACUUCUAGAAUGAAAGGGGUGCUGAAGGUCAGGUUAAGAUUUCAGUGUAGACCCAUGCACCUAUUUUAAAAUAUAGAGAGAGUUAAAGACAGGUUGUGACUAAGUUAUGUAUUUUCUGGCUGUAUAUGAAGCAGGGACAAUGCAGUAGCAAUGAACAGAACCUGGUUUCUAUAUCCUAUGCUGCAAUAAUAAAGAUUCAAAACUAAACCAGGGAAAAUAUAAGGUGAGCCUGAAGCAUUUUGUUGUGCCUGAAAAUAAGAAAAUGUGAAAACAAAACAAAACAACAACAGAAAGAUAGAGGUCAUAUUAAAAGGACACAGGCUGCAGCUUCAAAGAGCUUUCAAUACCAAAGUUAGAACAUCUUGAACCAAAAUAAAUAACAGCAGCAUUGGAUCAUAAACUGUAAAGUAAAAUAAAUUUCCAUCAAUCCCUACAAUUUAAAUAAAUAUUAAAUGGAUAAAUGAGGAUAAGUAAAAGCUUUUCUUUACAGAGAAACUCCAAUGUGCAAGGAAAAAUGAAUAUAGAGAAUUAUCACUGGAACACCUCUAUGGAUGCUAAAUUAGUGGGUGAAAAUUUCAACAGAGGCAGUAUGGUUGUAUAGUCUCAAAAUGCCUCAAAAUAAUUAGAAAGAGAAAAAUUUUAAGUUCAUAAUUGGAGAAAUCUGGAAUAUGCCACAUUGGUCAAACUGUCAUGAUUCAUAGUUUAAGUAAUGACUGGAAAUCCCUGUACCCACUCAUAUGAAACACCUCUCUGGGAUCCUUCCUAAAAAUGCAUAAUCUCAGUGUAACCAUGAGAAAGCAAACACCAAGCACAAAUUGAGUCAUUCUACAAAAUCUUCCCAGCUAUCUUCAAAAAGAUUGAAGGUAAUAAAAGACAAGUAAAGACAGUUAUUGAGUGCAUCAGCCAAUAGGACAUGACCAUAAAAUGUAAAGUGAAAUCCCAGAAUGGAUCAUAGAGUAGAAAGGGAGAGUUACAGAAAAAUUGGUAAAAUCCAAAUGACUUUUAUACUUUAACUAAAUUGUACUAAUGUAAAUUCCUUAUUUGUGAUAAGUAUUCUAUCAUUAUGCAAAAUUCUAACACGGGGAGGCUGGAUGAAGGGAGUACAAGAAAUCUCUAUAUUAUUUUUGUAGCUCUUUUAUAACUGUAAAAUUAGAUCACAGUAAAAUAUUUUAAAAUGCUGUUCAUGAACCUGAUGUGGUUUUGUC
rnacentral:lncRNA from 1 species